rnacentral:rRNA from 1 species
UACAGAGGGGGCAAGCGUUGUUCGGAAUUACUGGGCGUAAAGGGCGCGUAGGCGGCCUUCUAAGUCGAACGUGAAAUCCCCGGGCUCAACCCGGGAACUGCGUCCGAUACUGGAAGGCUUGAAUCCGGGAGAGGGAUGUGGAAUUCCAGGUGUAGCAGUGAAAUGCGUAGAUAUCUGGAGGAACACCGGUGGCGAAGGCGACAUCCUGGACCGGUAUUGACGCUGAGGCGCGAAAGCCAGGGGAGCAAACGGG